AGAGAGACUGCCGGUGGAGUAAACCGGAGGAAGGUGGGGAGUGACGUCAAAUCAUCAUGCCCCUUAUGGCCUGGGCUACAAACGUAAUACAAUGGCGUAUACAAAGGGAUGCGAAAGGGCGACCUGGAGCAAAACUCACAAAGUACGUCUCAGUUCAGAUUGGAGUCUGCAACUCGACUCCAUGAAGGCGGAAUCGCUAGUAAUCGCGGAUCAGCAUGCCGCGGUGAAUACGUUCUCGGGGUUU
rnacentral:rRNA from 1 species